rnacentral:rRNA from 1 species
UACGGAGGGUGCAAGCGUUGUCCGGAUUUAUUGGGUUUAAAGGGUGCGUAGGCGGCCCUGUAAGUCAGUGGUGAAAUUCUUGAGCUUAACUGAAGGAUUGCCAUUGAUACUGUAGGGCUUGAGUACAGAUGAGGUAGGCGGAAUUGAUGGUGUAGCGGUGAAAUGCAUAGAUACCAUCAAGAACACCGAUUGCGAAGGCAGCUUACUAAGCUGUAACUGACGCUGAUGCACGAAAGCGUGGGGAGCGAACAGG